UUUAUAAUUUCAUACCAAUGAAGAUUUUGUUUUGUUUUGGAGACAGCAUAAAUAUUGGAUUCUGAGAAGAUCCGUCACACGAGGUUUUGGGCAGACUAACCUUGUUCGGCCUUUCUAUGUAGUAAGUUGGACAAUGUUUGAAAGAAUAAAG